GAUGAAGAACGUAGCGAAAUGCGAUACGUAAUGUGAAUUGCAGAAUUCAGUGAAUCAUCGAGUCUUUGAACGCACAUUGCGCCCCCCGGUAUUCCGGGGGGCAUGCCUGUCCGAGCGUCAUUGCUGCCCUCAAGCACGGCUUGUGUGUUGGGCCUCCGUCCUCCUCCCGGGGGACGGGCCCGAAAGGCAGCGGCGGCACCGCGUCCGGUCCUCGGGCGUAUGGGGCUUCGUCACCCGCUCUUGUAGGCCCGGCCGGCGCUUGCCGACACAUCAAUCUUUUUUCCAGGUUGACCUCGGAUCAGGUAGGGAUACCCGCUGAACUUAAGCAUAUCAAUAAGCGGAGGA
rnacentral:misc_RNA from 1 species